rfam:Triticum urartu cultivar G1812 contig302479, whole genome shotgun sequence.
UUGGUACUCCCUCCAUUCCGAAUUACUUGUCGCAGAUAUGGAUGUAUCUAGAUGUAUUUUAGUUCUAGACUAGAUAAUUCAUUUCUGCGACGAGUAAUUUGGAACGGAGGAAGUAGUAA